GUAAAGAUGCUUUAAAGCAGUCUUCCCAGCUGUGAGUAAGGCACCAGGCUUGCUGAUACCAUGAUGUGACCAAGGAUGACCAAGGAAAAUCUACUAGGAUUAACUCAUCUACCAGGUCCAUUAAAGAGGGUACUGGGGAUCAAUUCUUGGUAAAUAUCUGUUGAAAAUAGAGGAAGAAUGAUCAAUUAGAUAGCUAUGUGACCUAGUUAAAAAUAUCCCGUUCCACCAGUGCCCUUAGUGGUUAAGGAAAAAAAUCUGCCUCUGAGUUGUUUUUGUGGGUGUGGCUCCCAGACAGCUUUGGUGACGCAUCAGGAAAAGACAGCAAACAGACCCAGAACAAGGGCUUCAAGUGACCUCACCAUAACAGCUUGGGUGGGCCUGGAGGUCAGUUCUCAUGCAAGCACAUUCAUUCUAGAAAGUUCUUACAUGCUUAGAAGAUGCUGACAGAAGUCUGCCUUCACCACCAUACAAAUAGAACCAUCAAACAGGAGCACAAACAAGGCAGAGGUAUUCCCUAUGCACCCAAAGACACUAUCUUUGGAAGUGAACUUGCACAAGAUCUCCUCAGAAGAAACCAUUAUUACAUGGGUGCCUGGGUUUCUCAAAAGUUCAUGACUAAACCUAAUGUCCAAGGUGAUAUAACUUCAAAGUGAAUCCCAUUCACCUUCUGGAUGGGAUUAGUGCCCCUUAUAGAAGGACCUGGAAAGCCUGUUUUCCAUUUUACCCCUCUGUCACCCAAAGACACCAUGAGAAGGUGCCACCUUUGAAGCAAAGAGCAAGCCCUCACCAGCAAACAAUGAUUCCACUGGCACCUGCAUCCUAGUCUCCAGAACUCGGAGAAACAGAUUCAUGUUGUAUAUAAAUCACCUAGCCUGGCUUACUUGGACACCACAGUGAAAACAGGUUAAGACAGAGGAGGAGGGAGGCCGAGAUAGCUGGCCACAAUCUUCCCAUUAAAGUCUACCAUGUGCUAGUUAGUGGUGACUGCACACAAAGGCCUCCAGAGCUGUGUUUUGGUUCUUCUUCCAAAUUAUCCUCUGAACCAUUUGGAAGUCAGACACCUCUACCUUCUUUACCAGAAGAAGUCAACUUGAAGUUCCAAAAUCACUCACCCAUGUAAAACAAGAAAUAAUAAAGGUCCAGGAAAGCCAUGGACAAAUAGAGAGACAGGGUGAGCGUGUUGUCUCCCAUUUAAUCGCACUUGUAAAGUGGAAAUAAUACUAGUAUCUUUUCAGAUUGUGGUAAGAUUAAAUACCAUUAAUCAAAGCAUUUAGAAUAAUGCCUGGAUCCUAGUAAGCAUGUGUAAUAAAAGUUAAUAACUAACUUUUUCUAUCAAGUAGAGUGGAAUCUCUCUCACUCUCUCAUCUCUCUGUCUCUCAGCUUGUUGCACUAUAGGAGUUUUCAGUAUUGGAAUUUUAUUGGGUCUUUAGUUCCUGAACAAAGUAUGUGAUAACUGAUGGUACUAAUAUUUUUUGUAUACUCUAUAUACAACACAUUUGUAUGCUAUAUUAGAAUACCAACUUGUUCUUUUUUUUUUUUUUUUGGUUUUUCUAGACAGGGUUUUUCUGCAUUGCUUUGGAGGUCCAACUUGCUCUUUUAGCCAGACAUUCUAAUUGCUGAAACAAAAACGAAUCAAGAGGUUAUUGAUUGCGUUGGGAAAUAGGAUGAGAAAACUCACAUGCUCUAACUUUAGAUAACAAUAUAUAUUAGCCAACUUGUCACUGCUGUGAAAAACACCUGAGACAAUGAAUUCUUGGAGCAGGCAUGUUUUCUCUGGACUCACGGUUUCAGAGCCUUCACUCCAUGGCCACUUAGCUUCAUGCUUUGGGCCUUCGGUGAGACUGAACAUCAUGGCAGGGAGCAUGUGAGGAGACAAAGUUGCUCAUGUCAUAGUGAACAGGAAGUGAGGG
ensembl:lincRNA